GCAGUGUGUGUAUAUACACAACAUCAAGAGCAGGAAAAUGGACUCAUUAGGGAGGCAGGCAGUCAUUACCACUCACACUGUACUUCCAGGGAGACACCGAUUAUGAGAAGAGAAACUCAGCGCUGGGGAAGAAGUCACACAAAAAGAAGUGUUAAGGAUUGCCCUUUGAGACACUGAAGGCUAAAGGACUGCCUGAAGUUACAUUUAGAGACUGAAAUCACUGCACCUUAAAAACAAAAGAUUGAGCUGCACUGCAUUCCUGUAUGGACAGAUGUGUUGGUUUCAUUCUACACCAUUUUUCACAAGCCUCCUGAAGUCUUUAAGAAUGUUUCACCGUCACUAACUGGAUAUUCCUCGCAACAUUGCUGUCUGGUAAGCAACUUUCACUAUCUCUAAACAGUGAUCCAAAAUACUGAGGUGCAAAGAAGUCAAGUAUAUUUCUCCCAAACUCAAAAAGAAUUAGACCUAAAGAUGUGUUGAGCCUACCACCUCUUGAACAGAAUGCAUUUUGACACUGGUGAAGGGUACCUAUUUCAUAUUCUAGUUGUUCAUUUGAAAUACCAUCAUUUAGAAUAAGAAGUGUGAUCUUGAGAACCUGUUGUCAUGGAUUUCAACAGAUUUCUCACAGUGAUUUUGCUAUCUUGGGUGAAGUAUUCAAAGGACUUGCUCCAGAGGCAUGUGUGUAUUUCCUAGAGAUACCUGAGUGGACAGAGGAGGUGAUGUGGUGAAAUGGGGCACUGAUGUUUCCCAUGUGGAACACUGGAUGCUUUGGCUUUAGGCAAACAAAACCUUCCAAACAUAUUUUAUGAUGUUUUGAACUACCUGUUACUAUUCCAUGAAAUGCUACAAAUUUGAAAUGCAUUUGAUUCAUUUGGAUCAGUUUUAAAAUCAGACAUGAUUGCUCUAGUGUAUACCCACAAGCAUGGGGACAUGAACAACCAUACUUCCCCCCACCACCAACAAUGUAACCGGCCAAGUAAGAGGACCUACCCCAAAGCUGAGAGAGAGCCUAGGUUUGAAACUUUGAGGUCUAUGUGUCUUUUAGUGAGAAUCUAUAAAGUUUCAAAAUUCGGUGUUUCUAGAAAUCUUGAGAUUUCAGUGGCUGGGAGGAGAGUGCAGGUCAGGACUGAGGGCAUAUUGGUAGAGCAUCAUCAAGUCAGAGCCUGAAAGAGUCGAGUUUGCUAGAGACUGACCUGCACAGAAACCUACUGGCAAAUACACCAGAGAGGGAGGAGGAGUGAAGGGGAGACUUGCCUAGCAUCUGAAUGCAGUCUGCCUGGCUCUAGCCAGGCCUGUUUAGUCAUGAACAGCCUAUUCAUCCAAACCUUUAAAACUUAACACUCUUGACUUUACUGUAUAUGAAUUUGCAUAAAAUGAGGAAAAUAAUAUCUUGGGUAAUACAGAUAGCUUUCUUACAGAAACUUUCCAUAUCCAUUGCACAUAAUCCACAGUUAUCUCUGUAUUUUUAUUUCUAAUUCUGUUGCACAUCUAUCUGUCUCUCUGAACUUAUCUCUCUCACUAGUGAAGGGCACAAGGCUUUAGGAUUGUAACCCCUCUCCCUUCCCACUCCCACUAAAGCUUUACUUGUUAUGUUGCCCAGAAAGAAACUCAUGUCAGUCUGAGUGUCAAGAGCUCAAGGGACGGACUCAUUUGGUAACUUUUAUUUGUCAUUCCCUUUGCAUUCAUUGCAAAACUCAUCACAANNNNNNNNNNNUUUCUGGCUUGCAAAGAAGCCAGUUCCUCCCCUAUUUCUAUCUAACACACAGAAAGCUCUUCAUGUUUCUAUGAUCAGAUAAAAUCUGUAUUGAUGUUUCUUUUCCUCUGGGUGAAUUUCACUUCUAGGGAUGAAGAUUUAAACUAUCAGGCCAAUGCUGUAUGUUUGUAGUUUCUGUGUUUUAGUAAAUGAAAAGCUCCUUGGGAAAGGAGAGCACAUCUUAUCCACUAAUGAAUAAAUAUUUAUUUUCAUUUUAAAAUGAUACAUGCUUAUUAAAAAUAAUUUGGAAAAACACAUUGGAGUAAAAUGAAGAAAAAUUAAAGUAAUUAUUUCUAUAAUUUAAAUCCAAUCAUUAAUAACCAUUUGAUAUAUUUUCUUACUCUCAUUUUCCCCUGAGGAUGUAUUUUUUAAAACAUACUAUAAUUGUACUUUCCAUAUAAUUUUAUGUCCUACUUUCAAAAUUUAACCUAAGAAUUCUACAUGUAAUUACACAGUCCUUAUAAACAUCAUUUUAAAUAAAUAUAUACUAUUUCUGAAGAGGAAUAGCUUGCUUAACCUAAGUGUCCAACAAGAGUAUUUUUGUUUUGUUUUGUUUUCACUUUUUGUUUCCAAAAUUUCUUACACAUAAAAGUAAAUGAAUCAGUCAAUAAAUGAUGAGUAAAUGAAUGAAAGUUCAAAUCAGUAUACAUUUAAAAUUUAUUAUGGGGAGUUCCCAUUGUGGCACAGUGGAAAUGAAUCCGACUAGGAACCAUGAGGUUGUGGGUUCGAUCCCUGGCCUCGCUCAGUGGAUUGAAGAUCUGGCAUUGCCAUGAGCUGCGGUGUAGGUCGCAGACACAGCUCAGAUCUGGCAUUGCUGUGCCCAUGGUGUAGGCUGGCAGCUUCAGCUCCAAUUUGACCCUUAGCCUAGGAACCUCCAUAUGCCGAAGGUGCAGCCCUAAAAAGCAAAAUAAAUAAUAAAAUAAAAUAAAAUUUAUUAUGAAAAAAUUUAAAUACAUGAAUGUAUGCAGAUUACUACAGUGAACUCUCAUGUACCAGUCACCCAGCUUGCACAGUGAUUCAUGGCCUAUCAUUUUCCCAUGUUACCACCAUGUUAUUUUGAAGUGAACUCCAGUCAUCAAGCAUUUAGUCCAUCAAUAUUUCGGGCCUGUCAAACCUUUUUCCAUGUUAAUAUUAAAAACAUUCAGAUAAAUAGUUCUAAUGAUUGUAUAUAGGGGUAUUUUUCUUCUGAAUAUACUGUCAUCGUAUUUUCCAAAAUAUAGCAAUUAAUCAUAAAAUCUCAUUGAUGUUUCGUAGGAUCCUUAGGCAUACUGCAAGCCAAAGGGCAGUUUGAUUAACUGUGUAGACAUUUUACAGAUUUGUCUGGGUUUCUUGAAUGAACUUUUUUUGGGGGGGGUAUUUUUUUUAACUUGACUCAAAUUUGGGAUAAUAAUUUGCAUGCUAGAUCAAUGCAGCAUUAAUUAUUCUCAUUAUUGGAUAUGUGCUGUGUUACAUACAAUUUCAUAUUUGACGUGAAAGGGGAACAAAGCCCUCUGACAACUUAGAAGUCCAGUGUGGCUGCAGCCAGCCCAUCCUAAAUAAAUAUGGUGAACUGAUUUAAACCAAAUGUAAUACUGCAUUUAAAAAUAUAUAGUUUCUUAAGGUAUAUUGGCAGAAACAUAAGGGGGCACUUAGGAAGCCCAAAAAGGGAAGAAUUAUACACUAAUAGCCUGAAUUAUUUUUUUUUUAAAAAGCACUAUGUUUAGGGAAGUGGGGGUGAAGGGAGAUGGUUCAUUGCAGAACCCAAGAGCAUUCACUGCUUGUGUGCCUCUGUGUAUUACUCAGGUUUAUCCUGAGAAUAUUUAAAGAGCCCUCUCUGGGCCAGCUUCCCCUGUCUAGACCAGCUCCUUUACAUCCAGAGCCACGAGGUGGAAUGCUCCAUGUGAAUUGUCUAUCCACAGAAGACCAGUUGUGAGGGGUUUGUCCUGCCUCGCUCUUGUUGACCUGCAGGUCAGUGACUGUUCCAACAGGUGUAUUCCACUCAUCAGAGAUUCAGGAUGUGAGUAACUGCAUAACAUCCUGCAUCAGUAUAAACUGGAUUUAUGUGUUACUCAGGUCUAUUUAAUCUUAGGAGCACAUUUUCCAUUGGCCUCGAAAGUGAGUAGCUAGAAUAUUGAUGUGCCUAACCCUUGGGGAAGAAAAAAAAAGAGCUUCUCCACUGCACUAAAUCUCUAGAAAAAUAUGAGGGUUUACAGUAUGGACACAUACAAAAUAUUUUCCAACAAAGUUGGAAGAGGAAAACACAUGGAAAAAAAAA
ensembl:lncRNA